AAUAUAAAUAUAAUUAUACCGGGUGUAUGUUUUGGUUUAACCGUUUAAUUUUUUCGGUUUUUCUUCUGAAAUUUUUUGUUUUCAAAUUACAUCAGAGAAAUUAAAACAAUAAAGAAUCUAUGUAAUAUGUAUGGAGUAAGUGUGAGAGUGUAAGAAUUUAUUUCAGAUACCUAGUUGUUUCUAUGAUACCCAGUUACCCACUUAUUAGCCUCAUUUAAUUAAGGAUUCUGCUGAAAGACAAGAUUACAUCACAUCAUUUUAUCCAAUUUGUCACAUUUAAACUAUGAACUUUUUUGAAAGAUUAUUUGGCUUUGGAUUUAAAAAUGAGUCUGGAAAUAAUUUUGAUUCAUUCAAAGGUAAACAACCAGACAAUCAUAUUGAGGAAGCUAGAGAUUCCUUGCAUAUGCGAUCCUUUUUUGAGGACGAAAUAGAUUCUUUUAUAGAAUCUAUGGGACUCCCGAGUUUGCCACAGUUAUUUGGUAAGUAUUCCGCCUAUUUAUGUGAUUAAC